GAUGUUAUCGAUAUAUCGUUUGCGCAUACGACGUGACUAUUCAAUGCAUUUGGGUUGUUGUCUCGGCUAACAUAUGUGACUCAUCAAAGCCGAAUGAAACUGAUUUCAUCCCAUGUGGACAGUUUUUGAACAAUUCAACACAAUACGUUUAGAAAUGUCAUUCAUCAGAGACUCAAAUGCGUACUGAUUUGUCAGUUAUUUUGCAAGACGAAUACUUCCGAGAGCCAAACCGAAGACAAAUCGGGAAAACAGCGACUAUGAACAAAGAAAAUCUAACGACACGACAGCCAGUACGAACAAAACUUAAUAAUAAAAAAAAUUGAGUAAAAAUUGGCGCCACCCACAAAAGUUGAGUAGUCUCAAAAAAAUAAGCACAUGCGCUCUUGUUUUGAGUGCGUUUGCAUGAGCUUUCACUCCAGAUACUUGAAAGCUUUCACUCAUUUGUAUUCCAACAAGUAUUCGGCUUCAGAUACGUUGUCACUUAGUUUGUCGGUUGGAUGCGGAUACGAUCGGAUAUGGGAUCCGCGAAGAUGGUGAAUGGUUUAUAACAAUUAUAAAAUGGUCUUAAGAAUUUAUAUUUAAUGAUCGUUAAAUA